UACGUAGGGUGCAAGCGUUGUCCGGAAUUAUUGGGCGUAAAGAGCUCGUAGGCGGUUUGUCGCGUCGGCUGUGAAAACCUGGGGCUCAACCCCGGGCCUGCAGCCGAUACGGGCAAACUAGAAUUCGGUAGGGGAGACUGGAAUUCCUGGUGUAGCGGUGAAAUGCGCAGAUAUCAGGAGGAACACCGGUGGCGAAGGCGGGACUCUGGGCCGAUACUGACGCUGAGGAGCGAAAGCGUGGGGAGCAAACAGG
rnacentral:rRNA from 1 species